AGCGUACACGGUGGAUGCCUUGGCAGUCAGAGGCGAUGAAGGACGUAUUAACUUGCGAUAAGCCCAGAUUAGGUAGUAAAAACCAUUUGAGUCUGGGAUUUCCGAAUGGGGAAACCCACUAGCAUAAGCUAGUAUCGCUGCGUGAAUACAUAGCGCAGCGAGGCGAACCGGGGGAACUGAAACAUCUAAGUACCCCGAGGAAAAGAAAUCAACCGAGAUUCCGAAAGUAGCGGCGAGCGAAAUUGGACUAGCCCUUAAGCUUUUUAUGCGUCAGGUGAAACUUCUGGAAAGUUGUGCGAUACAGGGUGAUAGCCCCGUAACCGGCAACGCAUUUAAAGUGAAAUCGAGUAGGGCGGGACACGUGAUAUCCUGUCUGAAUAUGGGGGGACCAUCCUCCAAGGCUAAAUACUACUGACUGACCGAUAGUGAACCAGUACCGUGAGGGAAAGGCGAAAAGAACCCCUGUGAGGGGAGUGAAAUAGAACCUGAAACCGUGUACGUACAAGCAGUAGGAGCACCUUCGUGGUGUGACUGCGUACCUUUUGUAUAAUGGGUCAGCGACUUAUAUUCAGUGGCAAGGUUAACCAUCUAGGGGAGCCGUAGGGAAACCGAGUCUUAACUGGGCGUUCAGUCUCUGGAUAUAGACCCGAAACCAGGUGAUCUAGCCAUGGGCAGGUUGAAGGUUGAGUAACAUCAACUGGAGGACCGAACCGACUAAUGUUGAAAAAUUAGCGGAUGACUUGUGGCUAGGGGUGAAAGGCCAAUCAAACCUGGAGAUAGCUGGUUCUCCCCGAAAGCUAUUUAGGUAGCGCCUCGGACGAAUACUACUGGGGGUAGAGCACUGUUAAGGCUAGGGGGUCAUCCCGACUUACCAACCCUUUGCAAACUCCGAAUACCAGUAAGUACUAUCCGGGAGACACACGGCGGGUGCUAACGUCCGUCGUGGAGAGGGAAACAACCCAGACCGCCAGCUAAGGUCCCAAAUUACUACUAAGUGGGAAACGAUGUGGGAAGGCUCAGACAGCCAGGAUGUUGGCUUAGAAGCAGCCAUCAUUUAAAGAAAGCGUAAUAGCUCACUGGUCGAGUCGGCCUGCGCGGAAGAUGUAACGGGGCUAAGUAGUAAACCGAAGCUGCGGCAAUGCACUUUAGUGCAUUGGGUAGGGGAGCGUUCUGUAAGCGGUUGAAGGUGUGUGGUAACGCAUGCUGGACGUAUCAGAAGUGCGAAUGCUGACAUGAGUAACGAUAAAGGGGGUGAAAAACCUCCUCGCCGGAAGACCAAGGGUUCCUGUCCAACGUUAAUCGGGGCAGGGUAAGUCGACCCCUAAGGCGAGGCCGAAAGGCGUAGUCGAUGGGAAACGGGUUAAUAUUCCCGUACUUCUUACAAUUGCGAUGGGGGGACGGAGAAGGCUAGGUGGGCCUGGCGACGGUUGUCCAGGUUCAAGUGCGUAGGCUUAAGAGUUAGGUAAAUCCGGCUCUUUUUAAGGCUGAGACACGACGUCGAGCUACUACGGUAGUGAAGUCAUUGAUGCCAUGCUUCCAGGAAAAGCCUCUAAGCUUCAGAUUGUAAGGAAUCGUACCCCAAACCGACACAGGUGGUCGGGUAGAGAAUACCAAGGCGCUUGAGAGAACUCGGGUGAAGGAACUAGGCAAAAUGGUACCGUAACUUCGGGAGAAGGUACGCUCUCGACGGUGAAGUCCCUCGCGGAUGGAGCUAUUGAGAGUCGCAGAUACCAGGUGGCUGCAACUGUUUAUUAAAAACACAGCACUGUGCAAAAUCGUAAGAUGACGUAUACGGUGUGACGCCUGCCCGGUGCCGGAAGGUUAAUUGAUGGGGUUAGACUUCGGUCGAAGCUCUUGAUCGAAGCCCCGGUAAACGGCGGCCGUAACUAUAACGGUCCUAAGGUAGCGAAAUUCCUUGUCGGGUAAGUUCCGACCUGCACGAAUGGCGUAAUGAUGGCCACGCUGUCUCCACCCGAGACUCAGUGAAAUUGAAAUCGCUGUGAAGAUGCAGUGUACCCGCGGCUAGACGGAAAGACCCCGUGAACCUUUACUACAGCUUGGCACUGAACAUUGACCCUACAUGUGUAGGAUAGGUGGGAGGCUUUGAAGCACAGUCGCUAGAUUGUGUGGAGCCGUCCUUGAAAUACCACCCUUGUAGUGUUGAUGUUCUAACGUUGACCCCUAAUCGGGGUUGCGGACAGUGCCUGGUGGGUAGUUUGACUGGGGCGGUCUCCUCCCAAAGCGUAACGGAGGAGCACGAAGGUGGGCUAAUCACGGUUGGACAUCGUGAGGUUAGUGCAAUGGCAUAAGCCCGCUUGACUGCGAGAAUGACGGUUCGAGCAGGUGCGAAAGCAGGUCAUAGUGAUCCGGUGGUUCUGAAUGGAAGGGCCAUCGCUCAACGGAUAAAAGGUACUCCGGGGAUAACAGGCUGAUACCGCCCAAGAGUUCAUAUCGACGGCGGUGUUUGGCACCUCGAUGUCGGCUCAUCACAUCCUGGGGCUGAAGUCGGUCCCAAGGGUAUGGCUGUUCGCCAUUUAAAGUGGUACGCGAGCUGGGUUUAGAACGUCGUGAGACAGUUCGGUCCCUAUCUGCCGUGGGCGUUGGAAGAUUGAAGGGGGCUGCUCCUAGUACGAGAGGACCGGAGUGGACGAACCUCUGGUGUUCGGGUUGUGUCGCCAGACGCAUUGCCCGGUAGCUAAGUUCGGAAUCGAUAACCGCUGAAAGCAUCUAAGCGGGAAGCGAGCCCUGAGAUGAGUCUUCCCUGAUACUUUAAGUAUCCUAAAGGGUUGU
rnacentral:rRNA from 1 species